GCGGCUUUGUGAUUGACAAAUUUGCAUUGAUAAACAUUGCUAAUAAGAUGAGGAGAUUCAUCACAUGCUCGUGUCAUGAUACAGAAUCUUCAUUGAAAUCUUACUACAUCCUUUCGUAGUUUCACAGUGAGUGUUCGUAAACAAAACUUUGGACCAAGGUAGCCGAUAUCCAAUCCAUAAUUUGUCGGAAGAUCACUCAUCUGAAACAAUGGACACGUUUGAUUGAUAGCGCUUGUGUCUUGCUGGCAGUUCGGGCAACCGCGGCGCCCGCCAGGCGGCGUCCUCGCCAGUUCGCGUUUCGCCAACGAAGAAGAACGCAAACAAGAUGGAGACGGUGCCCGUCGGCAGUCAAGAUACGUCAUUCGUUUCGCUAAACAAUUCAAUUGGGACAAGUACAUAACCGCACCGAAGCGGCAAUGUCAAUAGACCAAGAAUCACAUAAGAAUCGGCGUUAAGUCAGCACUCCCAUAACCUGCAAUAAAUCAACACCGUCACCCUGCAUCCUCCUGGGCGUCCUGAAAAAUAAAGUUAUGUCCACAAAUCAGAGUCAACAA